rnacentral:rRNA from 1 species
AGUGAACGCUGGCGGUAGGCCUAACACAUGCAAGUCGAACGGCAGCACAGGAGAGCUUGCUCUCUGGGUGGCGAGUGGCGGACGGGUGAGGAAUACAUCGGAAUCUACUCUGUCGUGGGGGAUAACGUAGGGAAACUUACGCUAAUACCGCAUACGACCUACGGGUGAAAGCAGGGGAUCUUCGGACCUUGCGCGAUUGAAUGAGCCGAUGUCGGAUUAGCUAGUUGGCGGGGUAAAGGCCCACCAAGGCGACGAUCCGUAGCUGGUCUGAGAGGAUGAUCGGCCACACGGGAACUGAGACAAGGUCCAGACUCCUACGGGAGGCAGCAGUGGGGAAUAUUGGACAAUGGGUGCAAGCCUGAUCCAGCCAUACCGCGUGGGUGAAGAAGGCCUUCGGGUUGUAAAGCCCUUUUGUUGGGAAAGAAAUCCAGCUGGCUAAUACCCGGUUGGGAUGACGGUACCCAAAGAAUAAGCACCGGCUAACUUCGUGCCAGCCGCCGCAGUAA